GGCGAACGUUAGCGGCGGGCCUAACACAUGCAAGUCGAGCGAGAAAGGGACUUCGGUCCUGAGUAAAGCGGCGGACGGGUGAGAAAUACGUAGGUAACCUGCCUUUCACUGGGGGACAACGGGCCGAAAGGACCGCUAAUACCGCAUACGUCAUCCCGGACCUCGGUCUGGGAUGGGAAAGCUGGGGCAACCUGGCGGUGGAAGGGGGGCCUGCGUCGCAUCAGCUAGUGGGUGGGGUAAAGGCCUACCAAGGCUAAGACGCGUAGCUGGUCUGAGAGGAUGAUCAGCCACACUGGGACUGAGACACGGCCCAGACUCCUACGGGAGGCAGCAGUGGGGAAUAUUGGACAAUGGGCGCAAGCCUGAUCCAGCCACGCCGCGUGAGUGAUGAAGGCCUUCGGGUCGUAAAGCUCUGUGGGGAGGGACGAACCGCCGGUAGUUAAUACCUACCGGCAUGACGGUACCUCCUUAGCAAGCACCGGCUAACUUCGUGCCAGCCGCCGCAGUAAAAC
rnacentral:rRNA from 1 species